rnacentral:rRNA from 1 species
UACGUAGGGGGCAAGCGUUGUCCGGAUUUAUUGGGCGUAAAGAGCGUGUAGGCGGUUUGGUAGGUCCGUUAUGAAAACUCGAGGCUCAACCUCGAGACGCCGAUGGAAACCAUCAGACUAGAGUCCGGAAGAGGAGAGUGGAAUUCCUGGUGUAGCGGUGAAAUGCGCAGAUAUCAGGAAGAACACCCGUGGCUAAGGCGGCUCUCUAGUACGGUACUGACGCUGAGACGCGAAAGCGUGGGGAGCGAACAGG